GACGAACGCUGGCGGCGUGCUUAACACAUGCAAGUCGAACGGAAAGGCCCUGCUUUUGUGGGGUGCUCGAGUGGCGAACGGGUGAGUAACACGUGAGUAACCUGCCCUUGACUUUGGGAUCACUUCAGGAAACUGGGGCUAAUACCGCAUAGGAGCUCCUGCUGCAUGGUGGGGGUUGGAAAGUUUCGGCGGUUGGGGAUGGACUCGCGGCUUAUCAGCUUGUUGGUGGGGUAGUGGCUUACCAAGGCUUUGACGGGUAGCCGGCCUGAGAGGGUGACCGGCCACAUUGGGACUGGGAUACGGCCCCGACUCCUACGGGAGGAAGCGGUGGGGAAUAUUGCAUAAUGGGCGGAAGCCUGAUGCAGCACCGCCGCGUGCGGGAUGACGGCCUUCGGGUAGUAAACCGCUUUCGCCUGUGACGAAGCGUGAGUGAGGGUAAUGAGUAAAGAAGCACCGGCUAGAUACGUG
rnacentral:rRNA from 1 species